CUGCAAUGAUGAGCGUUCACUUCAUGGUCCGUGUUUUUGAAACCAUGUGAUAGUUGAUGAAGUUCUGAGUUU